rfam:Fukomys damarensis contig125580, whole genome shotgun sequence.
AACUUUGUGUAAUGGCAGUAUCGUAGCCAGUGAGCUUUAUCCAAGGCAUGAUUAUUGCUAAUUGAAAACUUUUCUCAAGAUUUAGCUAAUAGAAAUUGUGCUGGUAUAAACAUGGGAGUGCAUAUA